rnacentral:lncRNA from 1 species
AAGGUUUAGUGAGGCGGCACCGCGCGGCCCGAGGCGGGUCUUGAAGCACUCGUUUUCCCACUCGUUUUCCGGGGUUCCCCCGCGGUGGGACAGUGAGCAGUUCAGGGCGCCGCAGCCGAGGCCUUCCUCCAGGUAAAUCGCCGGGCCUGCGGGGGCUUCCCACACGCGCGGGCGGGAGACGCGUUGCCUCCUACCUCAGUUUACCCGCCUUAGGAGCCGGUACCUUCGGCAAACGCUUUCCUGAAACCACGGGGGAACCGGCGCGAGGGACUCGACCCCUCGGAGCUACGAGAAUCAACUUCACAAGCUCAUGGGAGGGGAACCGCGCGCCUCCAGGUUACCCAUCUGUAAAAUGGGACCAUCAGCCUCACUCACAAGGCUCAUGGGAGGGUCCUGGACACCCUGGAGUUGUUCUCUACUCACCUGCUAUGAAUCUCUCAGCAAAUCCUUCGGACUUGGCCUUGCCUCCAAAAUACAGCCCAGAGCCACCCAUUGUCACCCCCAGGCUGUCACCACCCUAGGCCACAUCGUCCGUAUCUAUCUCAUGGAAGACUUGGACAGCGGCCUCUCUGCUAUCCUUUGCUGCAUUCUUUUGAAGCCCCAGGCUUGGUUCUGCACAUGGCCGCAGGCUGAGGAGUCUUUGAAAAAUAUAAUCAGCCAGACGCGGUAGCUCACCCCUGGAAUCCCAGCACUGCGGGAGGCCAAGGUGGGAGGAUCGCUUGAGCUCAGUUCAAAACCAGCCUAGGCAACAGAGCAAGACCCCAUCUCUACAAAAACACAAAAAUUACCCGGAUGUGGUGGUGCAAGCCUGUGGUCCCAGCUACUUGGGAGGCUGAGGCAGGAGGAUCACUUGAGCCCAGGAGGUUGAGGCUGCAGUGAGCUGUGACAGUGCCACUGCCACCAUCCUAGGGACACAGCAAGAACCUCCCCCAUAUAUAUACACAUAUAUACUUUGUUUUUAUCUAUAUAUAUACACACAGAUAUAUACAUACACGUGUGCAUAUAUAUGUGUGUGUGUGUAUAUAUAUAUAUAUACACAUAGACUGAAAAUGGAAAUAUCAAGGCCACUCAGUGCUUCCAGAGGGCUCUCAGCUGAACUUGGAAUAUCCUAAACCUUGUAUUCAGGUUUAUGAAGUCCCCUGAACUUGGCUCCCAUGCCCUGCUUUGUUCCCCCUUGCUCAUUGCUGUUCAGCCGCGUGGGUCUUUCCAUCCUUGGAGCACAAGCUCAUUCCAACCUAAGGGUCUUUGCACUUGGUCGUCUCUCUGCCUGGGACCUUGUGUUUCAGGUCUUACCUAGGUUGGAGUCCCAGCUCUGCACCUUUUUGAGUAUGAUCUAAAAGAGAGCGAGGAGUACUACAAUCUGUGGGCCAGAUAUAGUCUAUGAGCUAAAAAUGGUUCCUCCCUCCCUCCCCUUGUUCCCUCCCUCCCUUUCCUUCCCUUCCCUUUCUUUUAUUUAUUUUGGAAUCUAACUCUGUUGCCCACGCUGGAGUGCAGUGGUACAAUUUCGACUCACUACAACCUCCGCCUCCCGGGUUGAAGUGAUUCUCCUGCCUCAGCCUUCUGAGUAGCUGGCAUUACAGCUGUGUACUACUAUACCCAGCUAGUUUUUGUGUUUUUUUGUGGAGACAGGGUUUCACCAUGUUGGCCAGGCUGCUCUCGAACUUCUGACCUCAGGUGCUCUGCCCACCUUGGCUUCCCAAAGUGCUGGGAUUACAGGCAUGAGCCACCGCGCCUGCCGAUUUUUUUACAUUUUUAGCUGGUUGGGAAAAAAAAUACCAAAAGAAGAAUAUCUAUUGAUGUGAAAAUGGUGUGAAAUUUACAUUUCAGUGUCUGUAAAUAAAGUUUUAUUUGAAAACAGCCAAUGCUUACUCAUUUAUAUAUUGUCUCUGGCUACUUUUGAGCUGUGACAUUAGAGCUAAUUUUUUUUUUUAACAGAAACUUUUUGGCCAACAAAACUUAAAGCAUUUACUGUUUGUGUCUUUACAGAAAAAGUUUGCCAGUUCCUAAUCCAGGACACAUGUAUUUACAUGGUUGUUAAACUUUUCUGAACAGCCAGUGGGAUGUGGUAAAUAUUUAACAGCAGCUUCUCUGGAAGAGAAUGUAUUCGUUAGUAUGUAUUUAUGUGUGUGUAUAUAGUUUAUUGUAAAUUUUACUUAUUUUUCUAUCACUUUCUUAAGACCACAAGACAAUUAAUAAAACAAAUUGAACCCUGUUUUGUAGCGUCUGCUGAUUUUCUGGGUGUGAAUCCUUCAGCCAUGGCCUAUAUUGUUACUAAUGGGAUGUCACUAGCACCAGAGUUGGGAGGACAUGCGCAGUAGUAGCACACCAGAUUCUUUUUUUUUUUUUUUUUUUUCUUUUGAGGCAGAGUCUCGCUUUGUUGCCCAGGCUGGAGUGCAGUGGCGCGAUCUCAGCUCACUGCAACCUCUGCCUCCCGGGUUCAAGCGAUUCUCCUGCCUUAGCGUCCCCAGUAGCUGGGAUUACAGGCGCUCACCACCAUGCCUGGCUAAUCUUUGUAUUUUCAGUAGAGACUGGGUUUCACCAUGUUGGCCAGGCUGGUUUCGAACUCCUGACCUCAAGUGAUCCACCCACCUCGACCUCCCAAAGUGUUGGGAUUACAGGUGUGAGCCACUGUGCCCGGCCACACACCAGAUUUUUUUCAAGAACCUGACUUUCAGCCGGGCGCGGUGGCUCACGCCUGUAAUCCCAGCACUUUGUGAGGCUGAGGCAGGUGGAUCACGAGAUCAGGAGUUCAAAAUCAGCCUGGCCAGCACAGUGAAGCCCCGUCUCUACUAAAAAUACAAAAAAUUAGCCGGGUGUGGUGGCAGGCGCCUGCAAUCCAGCUACUCGGGAGGCUGAGGCAGGAGAAUCACUCGAACCCGAGAGGUGGAGGUUUCAGCGAGCUGAGAUCGCACCACUGCACUCCAGCCUGGGCAACAGAUGAGACUCUGUCUCAACAACAACAACAACAACAAAAACCUGCUACUUUCUCAGUGUGUCCCCACACCAGCAGCAUCAGCAUGACCUGGAAGCUUAUUAGAAAUACACAAUCUGGGCUGGGUGCGGUAGCUCACGCCUGUAAUCCCAGGACUUUGGGAGGCCAAGGCGGGUGAAUACUUGAGGUCAGGAGUUCAAGACCAGCCUGACCAACAUGGUGAAACCCCGUCUGUACUAAAAAAAUAAGAAAUUAGCCAGGUGUGGUGGUACACGUCUGUAAUCCCAGCUACUUGGGAGACUGAGGCAGGAGAAUUGCUUGAACCCAGGAGGCGGAGGUUGCAGUGAGCCAAGAUCACACCAUUGCACUCCAGCCUGGGCGACAGAGUGAGACUGUCUCAAAAAAAAAAAAAAAAAAAAUACACAAUAUGGCCAGGCGUGGUGGCUUACACCUGUAAUCCCAUCACUUUGGGAGGCUGAAGUGGGCAGAUUGCUUGAGCCCAGGAGUUCAAGACCAGUCUGGGCAACAUGGUGAGAUCCUGUCUCUGCAAAAAAUUAGCUAGUUGUGGUGGUGUUCACGUGUAGUCCCCAGCUACUCAGGAGGAUGAAGUGGGAGGAUGGCUUGAGCCCAGGCGUUGCAGGCUGCAGUGAGGUAGGAUGGCACGACUGCACUCCAGGCUGGGCUACGGAUUGUGACCUUGUCUCUAAAGAAAACGGUUAAUUUGAAACUUCACACCUGUAAUCCCAGCACUUCGGGAGGCUGAGGCAGGCAGAUCACAUGAGCCCAGGAGUUCAAGACCAGCCUGAGUGGGCAACAUGGCAAAACCCUGUCUCUGCCAAAAAUAGAAAAAAUUAGCCAGGCGUGGUGGCACACACCUGUAGUCCCAGCUACUCAGGAGGCUGAGGUGGGAGGAUUGCUUGAGUGCGGGAGACGGUGGCUGGAGUGAGCUGAGAUCACGCCGCUGCAUUCCAGCCUGGGCAACAGAGUGAGACUGCGUCUCGAAAAAAACCAAAGAAAGAAAUUCUCUAAGAGUAGCUCGAAUGUCAGUCCCCCUGGUCACCCACAGUGUGUAGAAUUCAGGUCAUCUGUCAUUCCUGGGGUGUUGGUUUCAUUAUUUUCAGGUUUCCCCAAACUUCUCUUGGGUAGGUCUUCUCAGCCUUUACCAUAUCUGCACGGUGUGACCUUUCAUGAACUUGAUACUUUUCUUUUUUU